rnacentral:rRNA from 1 species
UACGUAGGGUGCGAGCGUUGUCCGGAAUUAUUGGGCGUAAAGAGCUCGUAGGCGGUUUGUCGCGUCUGCUGUGAAAACUCGGGGCUUAACCCCGGGCCUGCAGUGGGUACGGGCAGACUAGAGUGCGGUAGGGGAGACUGGAAUUCCUGGUGUAGCGGUGAAAUGCGCAGAUAUCAGGAGGAACACCGAUGGCGAAGGCAGGUCUCUGGGCCGAUACUGACGCUGAGGAGCGAAAGCGUGGGGAGCGAACAGG